UAAGGAAUUUUGCGCAAUGGGGGCAACCCUGACGCAGCGACGCCGCGUGAGUGAGGAAGGCCUUCGGGUCGUAAAGCUCUGUCAAAGGGAAAGAAGUGCAUGGUGGCUAAUACCUGCCAUGUUUGACGGUACCCUUAAAGGAAGCACCGGCUAACCCCGUGCCAGCAGCCGCGGUAAUACGGAGGGUGCAAGCGUUAUUCGGAAUUAUUGGGCGUAAAGGGCGCGUAGGCGGUUUUUUAAGUGAGAUGUGUAAUCCCCGAGCUUAACUUGGGAACUGCAUCUCAGACUGGAAGGCUAGAGUGCUGGAGAGGGUGGUAGAAUUCCACGUGUAGCGGUGAAAUGCGUAGAGAUGUGGAGGAAUACCAGUGGCGAAGGCGGCCAUCUGGACGGUAACUGACGCUGAGACGCGAAAGCGUGGGGAGCAAACA
rnacentral:rRNA from 1 species